CUNAACNCAUGCAAGUCGAGCGGUAGAGAGAAGCUUGCUUNUCUUGAGAGCGGCGGACGGGUGAGUAAUGCCUNGGAAUNUGCNUGGUAGUGGGGGAUAACGUUNGGAAACGNACGCUAAUACCGCAUACNUCNUACGGGAGAAAGCAGGGGNNNUUCGGGCCUUGCGCUAUCAGAUGAGCCUAGGUCGGAUUAGCUAGUUGGUGAGGUAAUGGCUCACCAAGGCGACGAUCCGUAACUGGUCUGAGAGGAUGAUCAGUCACACUGGAACUGAGACACGGUCCAGACUCCUACGGGAGGCAGCAGUGGGGAAUAUUGGACAAUGGGCGAAAGCCUGAUCCAGCCAUGCCGCGUGUGUGAAGAAGGUCUUCGGAUUGUAAAGCACUUUAAGUUGGGAGGAAGGGCAUUAACCUAAUACGUUAGUGUUUUGACGUUACCGACAGAAUAAGCACCGGCUAACUCUGUGCCAGCAGCCGCGGUAAUACAGAGGGUGCAAGCGUUAAUCGGAAUUACUGGGCGUAAAGCGCGCGUAGGUGGUUUGUUAAGUUGGAUGUGAAAUCCCCGGGCUCAACCUGGGAACUGCAUUCAAAACUGACUGACUAGAGUAUGGUAGAGGGUGGUGGAAUUUCCUGUGUAGCGGUGAAAUGCGUAGAUAUAGGAAGGAACACCAGUGGCGAAGGCGACCACCUGGACUAAUACUGACACUGAGGUGCGAAAGCGUGGGGAGCAAACAGGAUUAGAUACCCUGGUAGUCCACGCCGUAAACGAUGUCAACUAGCCGUUGGAAGCCUUGAGCUUUUAGUGGCGCAGCUAACG
rnacentral:rRNA from 1 species